UUCCACUCUGCAGGGCUAUUACCUAGAAGUUUGGACUUUCCCUCUGUGAGCUGAUAUUACUGAAAGCACCUUGCUGGGAAUCUCACCCAGGGGAAGGAAAGCUGAGGGAAUAAUGGACAUGUCAAGGAAGCUCUUGACACCCUUCUCACAUGGCAGCCAGGCCCAUAGGAAUUCCCAGAUUUCUUCAGCCACAGAGAUUCAGAAGCCUUAAAUAUUUUGGUGAAAUUUAUUCCUGAAUCACCACAGGAGCUAAAAGCAAUACUUUCUGACAAGCAGUCAUUAUUGAGGACACUACAACAUCCAAAAGACAGGGGAAUUUUACUUGAUAUGUUUGUCAAACGUUGUUGUAAAUUUAAUUGUGUCAAACAAGCUAAGAUGUUAAUUGUAAUUUCUAAUCCACUUAUGUAAUCUUCAUUUCUAAUCUUGAAUAUACUGUCACUGAUGUCCCGGUCAGUCACUACUGAUUAUUAAAAUCAUG
rnacentral:lncRNA from 1 species